rnacentral:tRNA from 1 species
GGGGAUUUAGCUCAGUGGUAGAGCGCUUGCCUAGCAAGCAUAAAGCACUGGGUUCGGUCCCCAGCUCCG